rnacentral:tRNA from 1 species
CGGGAGCUGGGCGACGUGGUGCGCCCGCGCCUCGACGGCGCGCCGGUGCCGGCCGCCGGGUUCGUCCCGGCGAGCGAGCCCGCC